rnacentral:lncRNA from 1 species
AUGUUUUGUGAUAUUUGGCAUUGGCGAUGUGAUCACACAUUGUCGCUUUACAUCGGCCGCAAGGCUUCAAAGGUAUCCAUCCAUCCAUAAUAUGCAUAUGCUUAUUAUAAAAUAAUAUUAUACUUGUUGAUAUGUUUCCCAUUUAUUUAUUAAAAGCUAUGGAUUUUGUUUACAAAAAAAAACAUAACUAAAAUCAAUCUUCUUACGGACUGCUGAAUUGCCAGGUCUAUUCAACUUAAUUUCCAGGUCGAAAUUACUUGAUUUUGAUAGAAAUAAUUUUCACCAUCUAGUGAAGCCCCUCCUUCAAUAGCAAUUAAGCCUUUGCAACCAGAUCACAAGAAGCACACGGAUGAUGAAGACUCUUGCUUAGUAGCAUCCUCGUAUCCAUACUUCUUAACCAUACUAAAACUAAGGACUAUGAUGUUCAAACCUACUUCUGAAUCAGCCUCGUUCAGGUGUGGUACACGUGCAGAGAGAUCUUAAAAGUUAUAAGAGAAGCUCAAGCACCAGAGGCGGAGAAAAUUAAAUAUGAUGCAAGAACUAUGGUAAAAUAUCAUCUUGUCUAUGGUUCUUAGCAAUAUGAUCAUAAGGUACUGUUUGUUUUCUUUACAAUUACAUAUUUAUGCCUAUUGGGACAGGUCAAAUGGGUUGAAAGUGACCAAAGUUAAUUAAAUGCUUACCUUAUAAAUUGCUUUGUUUAAAAAAUUAGAUUAGUUUCAGAUAGUAACGUUUUCGUAAUUAUAUCGUGUACAUACUGUUUAAAAGAUUGGAUUUUUUGAGGUCUCACGUUUGAUUCCAUCUCCGUUGAAUUUGGCACGAGUUUAUCCUCUCAUUACAGACUGGUAUACAUACUAUUUUCAGAAAGUACAGUAUUUGAAUUCUUAAAGUGAUUGGAAUGCAGU